rnacentral:rRNA from 1 species
UGGGGAAUUUUGCACAAUGGGCGCAAGCCUGAUGCAGCCAUGCCGCGUGUGUGAAGAAGGCCUUCGGGUUGUAAAGCACUUUCAGCGGGGAGGAAGGCGUUAAGGUUAAUAAACUUGGCGAUUGACGUUACCCGCAGAAGAAGCACCGGCUAACUCCGUGCCAGCAGCCGCGGUAAUACGGAGGGUGCAAGCGUUAAUCGGAAUUACUGGGCGUAAAGCGCACGCAGGCGGUCUGUCAAGUCGGAUGUGAAAUCCCCGGGCUCAACCUGGGAACUGCAUUCGAAACUGGCAGGCUAGAGUCUUGUAGAGGGGGGUAGAAUUCCAGGUGUAGCGGUGAAAUGCGUAGAGAUCUGGAGGAAUACCGGUGGCGAAGGCGGCCCCCUGGACAAAGACUGACGCUCAGGUGCGAAAGCGUGGGGAGCAAACAGG